UAGAAGACCAAGGGCUUAAGCGCCGAUGCUAUAGGAGAGAGGAAAAGUAGGGGCCUCAAAGUUCUCCAUCUCAUGUAGCCAUGGGAAGCCGACAACCACUCAUUAAUGCUGGUGCUACAAUUUCCAAGCAACCUUGCUAAGGAACUCUUCCAUAUGCAUCGGCAAUCCACUCAGCAGAGGACUACUGCAACAUCCAAGGGACAUUAAACUACAUACCAUAUAGAGAAAGCGAGCUUUCUUAGCAUAUCUUCAAC
rnacentral:misc_RNA from 1 species